rnacentral:rRNA from 1 species
GAUGAACGCUGGCGGCGUGCCUAAUACAUGCAAGUCGAGCGAACGGACGAGAAGCUUUCUUCUCUGAUGUUAUCGGCGGACGGGUGAGUAACACGUGGAUAACCUCCCUAUAAGACUGGGAUAACUUCGGGAAACCGGAGCUAAUACCGGAUAAUCUUUUUAACCGCAUGGUUCAAAAGUGAAAGAAGGUCUUGCUUUCACUUAUAGAUGGAUCCGCGCUGCAUUAGCUAGUUGGUAAGGUAACGGCUUACCAAGGCAACGAUGCAUAGCCGACCUGAGAGGGUGAUCGGCCACACUGGAACUGAGACACGGUCCAGACUCCUACGGGAGGCAGCAGUAGGGAAUCUUCCGCAAUGGGCGAAAGCCUGACGGAGCAACGCCGCGUGAGUGAUGAAGGUCUUCGGAUCGUAAAACUCUUUUAUUAGGGAAGAACAUAUGUGUAAGUAACUGUGCACAUCUUGACGGUACCUAAUCAGAAAGCCACGGCUAACUACGUG